rnacentral:lncRNA from 1 species
UGUGGUAUCUGGAGUACUACAUCAAUAUGCAUUGCCUUAAGGUAUUUUUCAGGAAUAGCCUGAGGACCAAUUGUGGAAUGUGGGUUUGUGUUUUCCUUGUUUAUCAUUAAUGACACCUGGGGUGAGAUAUCCUGGAAGGGCCACUGCACAGGUCACAGGUCACAGACCACCACUCUAGUUUACUCAAACACCAGAGGGUAAGGAAAAUAUCCCAAAAACAAAGAAAGGAUGUAGGAGGGCCUACAGCCCUAACCGUAUAUAACAGGGUCACAAACUCUGGUUUGGGAGAGCUGGACAUCAUUGGCAGUCCUCUCCCAGCAACUGCAGUGCUGUAUUGAUACUGGUUUUGUCUUUAUAAUAAACUCCUCUUAUACAAGCAAGCCAGUGUCACGAAGCCUCCUUCUGCAUCUACACAUCGAGGACAGCCCAGACACAACAAAUUGGCGUCACGAACAGGAUCAGCUACGGCCUCCAGAGGAUCACGGCAGCUUCAACGCCUCUAUUCCUGCACCACAUUGGCGCCAGGUGAGUGUUUGACUCACAUAAAGUGCUGCUGGUUUAGUUGUUGGAGCUGUUGUGUUCAGCUGUUAGGCUGUACUGUGUAAAAGUACUUGUGUGGAAAUGCUGUGAUGUGCUGUUGAAGAGAGGCUUCGUCUAAAUUUGGGUAGAAUAGAAAAGAAAAGAAGUUGUAGAGAAGAUGUUAAAAUAGACGAAAAAGAGAUGCCAAAAAUAGAAUAGCAGAGACUAGUAAUGGGAGUGUGCUAAAUAACCUUGCAAGAUUAACGAAGAGGGGCCCAUAUCUUCUUAACGGUAAGACAAUGUGUAAAUUAGUGACUAAUGUGAACGUCUAGCUCAAAAAGGAUAGUCGAAUUCGGGGCGUGGAAAGAAAAAGUGAGGAGUAAAACCCGGAGCCCAGGGUAAUUGGCAAAUAAAUGAUAAAAAGAGAUAAAGGGUGAAAAGAGAAACAGGCUGAGAUAGCCUAGGCUGAGAUGGCCGAAAAAGAGAAACAGGCUGAGAUAGCCUAGGCUGAGAUGGCCGAAAAAGAGAAACAGGCUGAGAUAGCCUAGGCUGAGAUGGCCGAAAAAGAGAAACAGGCUGAGAUAGCCUAGGCUGAGAUGGCCGAAAAAGAGAAAAAGGCUGAGAUAGCCAGGGCUGAGAUGGCCGAAACAGAGAAAAAGGCUGAGAUGGCCUGGGCUGAGAUAGCCGAAAAAGAGAAAAAGUUAACUUAAUGUUAGGGAAGUCGUGAUUGGGCAUACAAACCGGUAAGGACAGUUUAAAGAAAAAAAAUUAAGUUAACUUAAUGUUAGGGAAGUCGUGAUUGGGCAUACAAACCGGUAAGGACAGUUUAAAGAAGAAAAAAAGGCCUAUAAACUAUAGUAAGGAAACAUUGAGCUCUGUGAGGAGAGGUGUGUUGGAAUUUCCGUGUGUGAGAGAAGCUUCUGGUGUGUGUGUGAGGAGUGUGUGUAUGGGUGCUGCUGUGAGUGUGAGUGCAAAAGAGUCUGUGUGCAGUGAGUGGCAUGUGCACAAAGUUGGGGAAGUGUCUAGCAUAAAUAUAAGUGAUUAACUCAUGAUAAAGUGAUAAAUGAUGUCUUAUUAAAUAUAUAAUGAUAUGAUAUAAGAAAUUAACAUAUAAGGGAAGAGAUACUGUUGUCUUUGUAAUGUUAAAAAACAUAUGAGCCCUGGUUUUCUUUGUACAGGGACGUUAAUAGAACAAGUAACUGCUAUGAGCCUCUCAGGAUAAAGAGGACGUUAGUACACCUAAUA